rnacentral:rRNA from 1 species
UACGGGGGGAGCAAGCGUUGUUCGGAUUUACUGGGCGUAAAGGGCGCGUAGGCGGCCACCGCAAGUCGACUGUGAAAUCUCCGGGCUUAACCCGGAAAGGUCAGCCGAUACUGCGGGGCUAGAGUGCAGAAGGGGCAACUGGAAUUCUCGGUGUAGCGGUGAAAUGCGUAGAUAUCGAGAGGAACACCUGCGGCGAAGGCGGGUUGCUGGGCUGACACUGACGCUGAGGCGCGAAAGCUAGGGGAGCAAAACGG